rnacentral:rRNA from 1 species
AGAGUUUGAUCCUGGCUCAGGAUGAACGCUAGCGGCAGGCUUAAUACAUGCAAGUCGAGGGGCAGCACAGGUAGCAAUACUGGGUGGCGACCGGCAAACGGGUGCGGAACACGUACGCAACCUUCCUUUAAGCGGGGGAUAGCCCAGGGAAACUUGGAUUAAUACCCCAUAAGAUAACGGAGUGGCAUCACUUAGUUAUU